rnacentral:rRNA from 1 species
UUGAACGCUGGCGGCAGGCCUAACACAUGCAAGUCGAGCGGAUGAAGGGAGCUUGCUCCUGGAUUCAGCGGCGGACGGGUGAGUAAUGCCUAGGAAUCUGCCUGUUAGUGGGGGAUAACGUCCGGAAACGGGCGCUAAUACCGCAUCCGUCCUGAGGGAGAAAGUGGGGGAUCUUCGGCCCUCACGCUGUCAGAUGAGCCUAGGUCGGAUUAGCUAGUUGGUGGGGUAAAGGCCUACCAAGGCGACGAUCCGUAACUGGUCUGAGAGGAUGAUCAGUCACACUGGAACUGAGACACGGUCCAGACUCCUACGGGAGGCAGCAGUGGGGAAUAUUGGACAAUGGGCGAAAGCCUGAUCCAGCCAUGCCGCGUGUGUGAAGAAGGUCUUCGGAUUGUAAAGCACUUUAAGUUGGGAGGAAGGGCAGUAAGUUAAUACCUUGCUGUUUUGACGUUACCAACAGAAUAAGCACCGGCUAACUUCGUG